rnacentral:tRNA from 1 species
UCCCUGAUAGCUCAGUUGGUAAAGAAUCUGCCUGCAAUGCAGGAGAUCCUGGUUCAAAUUCUGGGUUGGGAAG